GGUUAAGUUAAUAAGGGCGCACGGUGGAUGCCUUGGCACUAGAAGCCGAUGAAGGACGUGACUAACGACGAAAUGCUUUGGGGAGCUGUAAGUGAGCAAUGAUCCAGAGAUGUCCGAAUGGGGAACCCGGCAGGUAAUGCCUGUCACUCAUUACUGUUAAGGUAAUGUAGAGGAAGACGCAGUGAACUGAAACAUCUAAGUAGCUGUAGGAAGAGAAAGCAAAAGCGAUUGCCUUAGUAGCGGCGAGCGAAACGGCAAGAGGGCAAACCGAAGAGUUUACUCUUCGGGGUUGUAGGACUGCAACGUGGACUUAAAGAUUAUAGAAGAACUACCUGGGAAGGUAGGCCAAAGAGAGUAAUAGCCUCGUAUUCGAAAUAGUCUUUAUACCUAGCAGUAUCCUGAGUACGGCGAGACACGAGAAAUCUCGUCGGAAUCUGGGAGGACCAUCUCCCAACCCUAAAUACUCUCUAGUGACCGAUAGUGAACCAGUACCGUGAGGGAAAGGUGAAAAGCACCCCGGGAGGGGAGUGAAAUAGAACCUGAAACCGUGUGCCUACAACAAGUUCGAGCCCGUUAAUGGGUGAGAGCGUGCCUUUUGUAGAAUGAACCGGCGAGUUACGAUAUGAUGCGAGGUUAAGUUGAAGAGACGGAGCCGUAGGGAAACCGAGUCUUAAUAGGGCGCAUUAGUAUCAUGUCGUAGACCCGAAACCAUGUGACCUACCCAUGAGCAGGUUGAAGGUGAGGUAAAACUCACUGGAGGACCGAACCAGGGCACGUUGAAAAGUGCUUGGAUGACUUGUGGGUAGCGGAGAAAUUCCAAACGAACUUGGAGAUAGCUGGUUCUCUCCGAAAUAGCUUUAGGGCUAGCGUCGAUGUUAAGUCUCUUGGAGGUAGAGCACUGUUUGGGUGAGGGGUCCAUCCCGGAUUACCAAUCUCAGAUAAACUCCGAAUGCCAAUGAGAUAUAAUCGGCAGUCAGACUGCGAGUGCUAAGAUCCGUAGUCGAAAGGGAAACAGCCCAGACCACCAGCUAAGGUCCCAAAAUAUAUGUUAAGUGGAAAAGGAUGUGGGUUGCACAGACAACUAGGAUGUUAGCUUAGAAGCAGCUAUUCAUUCAAAGAGUGCGUAAUAGCUCACUAGUCGAGUGACCCUGCGCCGAAAAUGUACCGGGGCUAAAACAUAUUACCGAAGCUGUGGAUACCUUUAUAGGUAUGGUAGGAGAGCGUUCUAUGUGCGAAGAAGGUGUACCGUGAGGAGUGCUGGAGCGCAUAGAAGUGAGAAUGCCGGUAUGAGUAGCGAAAGACAGGUGAGAAUCCUGUCCACCGUAAGACUAAGGUUUCCAGGGGAAGGCUCGUCCGCCCUGGGUUAGUCGGGACCUAAGGAGAGACCGAAAGGUGUAUCCGAUGGACAACAGGUUGAUAUUCCUGUACUAGAGUAUAUAGUGAUGGAGGGACGCAGUAGGCUAACUAAACCAGACGAUUGGAAGUGUCUGGCCAAGCAGUGAGGUGUGAUAUGAGUCAAAUGCUUAUAUCUUUAACAUUGAGCUGUGAUGGGGAGCGAAGUUUAGUAGCGAAGUUAGUGAUGUCACACUGCCGAGAAAAGCUUCUAGCGUUAAUUAUACUCUACCCGUACCGCAAACCGACACAGGUAGUCGAGGCGAGUAGCCUCAGGUGAGCGAGAGAACUCUCGUUAAGGAACUCGGCAAAAUGGCCCCGUAACUUCGGGAGAAGGGGCGCUGACUGAUGGUCAGCCGCAGUGAAUAGGCCCAAGCAACUGUUUAUCAAAAACACAGCUCUCUGCUAAAUCGUAAGAUGAUGUAUAGGGGGUGACGCCUGCCCGGUGCUGGAAGGUUAAGAGGAGUGCUUAGCGUAAGCGAAGGCAUGAAUUGAAGCCCCAGUAAACGGCGGCCGUAACUAUAACGGUCCUAAGGUAGCGAAAUUCCUUGUCGGGUAAGUUCCGACCCGCACGAAAGGCGUAAUGAUUUGGGCACUGUCUCAACGAGAGACUCGGUGAAAUUUUAGUACCUGUGAAGAUGCAGGUUACCCGCGACAGGACGGAAAGACCCCAUGGAGCUUUACUGCAGUUUGAUAUUGAGUAUCUGUACCACAUGUACAGGAUAGGUAGGAGCCUAUGACCUCGGGACGCCAGUUUCGAGUGAGGCGUUGUUGGGAUACUACCCUUGUGUUAUGGCUACUCUAACCCAGAUAGGUUAUCCCUAUCGGAGACAGUGUCUGACGGGCAGUUUGACUGGGGCGGUCGCCUCCUAAAAGGUAACGGAGGCGCCCAAAGGUUCCCUCAGAAUGGUUGGAAAUCAUUCGCAGAGUGUAAAGGUAUAAGGGAGCUUGACUGCGAGAGCUACAACUCGAGCAGGGACGAAAGUCGGGCUUAGUGAUCCGGUGGUUCCGUAUGGAAGGGCCAUCGCUCAACGGAUAAAAGCUACCCUGGGGAUAACAGGCUUAUCUCCCCCAAGAGUUCACAUCGACGGGGAGGUUUGGCACCUCGAUGUCGGCUCGUCGCAUCCUGGGGCUGUAGUCGGUCCCAAGGGUUGGGCUGUUCGCCCAUUAAAGCGGCACGCGAGCUGGGUUCAGAACGUCGUGAGACAGUUCGGUCCCUAUCCGUCGCGGGCGUAGGAAAUUUGAGAGGAUCUGCUCCUAGUACGAGAGGACCAGAGUGGACUUACCGCUGGUGUACCAGUUGUUCUGCCAAGAGCAUCGCUGGGUAGCUAUGUAGGGAAGGGAUAAACGCUGAAAGCAUCUAAGUGUGAAGCCCACCUCAAGAUGAGAUUUCCCAUGAUUUUAUAUCAGUAAGAGCCCUGAGAGAUGAUCAGGUUGAUAGGUUAGAAGUGGAAGUGUGGUGACACAUGUAGCGGACUAAUACUAAUAGCUCGAGGACUUAUCCAA
rnacentral:rRNA from 1 species